GACGAACGCUGGCGGCGUGCCUAAUACAUGCAAGUCGAACGGUAAGGGCCGGUUCUUGUGGGGUGCGCGUGUGCCGCGAGGGGGUGUAUCACGUGAGUGACAUCUGCUUGUCAUUGGGGGAACUCCAGGAGACACGGGUUAAUACCGCACAGAAGAACCUGCUACACAGUUGGGAUGUGAGAAAUUCGGCGUUUCGGGAUGGACGCGAGGUUCCUCAGCGUGUUGGUGGGGUGGUGGCUUACCAAGGCACUGACGCGUAGCCGGCCUGAGAGGGUGACAGGCCCCAUUGGGACUGAGAUACGGGCCAGACGCCUACUUGAGGCAGGGGUGGAGAAUAGUGCACAAUGGGCGGAAGCAGGAUGCAGGAACGCCGCGUGGGGGAUGACGGCCUUCGGGUUGUAAAGCGCUUGAGCCUGUGACGAAGAGUGAGUGACGGUAAUGGGUAAAGAAGCACCGGCUAACUACGUG
rnacentral:rRNA from 1 species